UGGGGAAUUUUGGACAAUGGGCGAAAGCCUGAUCCAGCAAUGCCGCGUGUGUGAAGAAGGCCUUCGGGUUGUAAAGCACUUUUGUCCGGAAAGAAAUCCUUGGCUCUAAUACAGUCGGGGGAUGACGGUACCGGAAGAAUAAGCACCGGCUAACUACGUGCCAGCAGCCGCGGUAAUACGUAGGGUGCAAGCGUUAAUCGGAAUUACUGGGCGUAAAGCGUGCGCAGGCGGUUUUGCUAAGACCGAUGUGAAAUCCCCGGGCUCAACCUGGGGAACUGCAUUGGUGACUGGCAGGCUAGAGUAUGGCAGAGGGGGGUAGAAUUCCACGUGUAGCAGUGAAAUGCGUAGAGAUGUGGAGGAAUACCGAUGGCGAAGGCAGCCCCCUGGGCCAAUACUGACGCUCAUGCACGAAAGCGUGGGGAGCAAAACAGGAUUAGAUACCCUGGUAGUCCGCGCCCUAAACGAUGUCAACUAGUUGUUGGGGAUUCAUUUCCUUAGUAACGUAGCUAACGCGUGAAGUUGACCGCCUGGGGAGUACGGUCGCAAGAUUAAAACUCAAAUGAAUUGACGGGGUCAUAGCUGUUUCCU
rnacentral:rRNA from 1 species